UUUUUAUGAGAGUUUGAUCCUGGCUCAGGACGAACGCUGGCGGCGUGCCUAAUACAUGCAAGUCGAACGCUUCUUUUUCC
rnacentral:rRNA from 2 species